rnacentral:rRNA from 1 species
AGUGAACGCUGGCGGUAGGCCUAACACAUGCAAGUCGAACGGCAGCACAGUAAGAGCUUGCUCUUACGGGUGGCGAGUGGCGGACGGGUGAGGAAUACAUCGGAAUCUACUUUUUCGUGGGGGAUAACGUAGGUAAACUUACGCUAAUACCGCAUACGACCUACGGGUGAAAGCAGUGGAUCUUCGGACCUUGCGCGAUUGAAUGAGCCGAUGUCGGAUUAGCUAGUUGGCGGGGUAAAGGCCCACCAAGGCGACGAUCCGUAGCUGGUCUGAGAGGAUGAUCAGCCACACUGGAACUGAGACACGGUCCAGACUCCUACGGGAGGCAGCAGUGGGGAAUAUUGGACAAUGGGCGCAAGCCUGAUCCAGCCAUACCGCGUGGGUGAAGAAGGCCUUCGGGUUGUAAAGCCCUUUUGUUGGGAAAGAAAAGCAGCAGGUUAAUACCCCGCUGUUCUGACGGUACCCAAAGAAUAAGCACCGGCUAACUUCGUG